rnacentral:rRNA from 1 species
CCUACGGGAGGCAGCAGUGGGGAAUAUUGCGCAAUGGGCGCAAGCCUGACGCAGCAACGCCGCGUGAAGGAAGAAGGCCCUCGGGUUGUAAACUUCUUUUCUCAGGGACGAAGCAAGUGAUGGUACCUGAGGAAUAAGCCACGGCUAACUACGUGCCAGCAGCCGCGGUAAUACGUAGGUGGCAAGCGUUAUCCGGAUUUACUGGGUGUAAAGGGCGUGUAGGCGGGAAAGCAAGUCAGAUGUGAAAACCAUGGGCUCAACCUGUGGCCUGCAUUUGAAACUGUUUUUCGUGAGUGCUGGAGAGGCAGACGGAAUUCCUAGUGUAGCGGUGAAAUGCGUAGAUAUUAGGAGGAACACCAGUGGCGAAGGCGGUCUGCUGGACAGCAACUGACGCUGAGGCGCGAAAGCGUGGGGAGCAAACAGGAUUAGAUACCCGGGUAGUC